UACGGAGGGGGCUAGCGUUGUUCGGAAUUACUGGGCGUAAAGCGUACGUAGGCGGCUUUGUAAGUCAGAGGUGAAAGCCCGGGGCUCAACUCCGGAACUGCCUUUGAUACUGCAAAUCUCGAGUCCGAUAGAGGUGGGUGGAAUUCCUAGUGUAGAGGUGAAAUUCGUAGAUAUUAGGAAGAACACCGGUGGCGAAGGCGGCCCACUGGAUCGGUACUGACGCUGAGGUGCGAAAGCGUGGGGAGCAAACAGG
rnacentral:rRNA from 1 species